AUUGAACGCUGGCGGCAUGCCUUACACAUGCAAGUCGAACGGCAGCACGGGUGCUUGCACCUGGUGGCGAGUGGCGAACGGGUGAGUAAUACAUCGGAACAUGUCCUGUAGUGGAGGAUGGCCCGGCGAAAGCCGGAUUAAUACCGCAUACGAUCUACGGAUGAAAGCGGGGGACCUUCGGGCCUCGCGCUAUAGGGUUGGCCGAUAGCUGAUUAGCUAGUUGGUGGGGUAAAGGCCUACCAAGGCGACGAUCAGUAGCUGGUCUGAGAGGACGACCAGCCACACUGGGACUGAGACACGGCCCAGACUCCUACGGGAGGCAGCAGUGGGGAAUUUUGGACAAUGGGCGAAAGCCUGAUCCAGCAAUGCCGCGUGUGUGAAGAAGGCCUUCGGGUUGUAAAGCACUUUUGUCCGGAAAGAAAUCCUUGGCUCUAAUACAGUCGGGGGAUGACGGUACCGGAAGAAUAAGCACCGGCUAACUACGUG
rnacentral:rRNA from 1 species